rnacentral:rRNA from 1 species
UACGAAGGGUGCAAGCGUUACUCGGAAUUACUGGGCGUAAAGCGUGCGCAGGCGGUUAUGCAAGACAGAUGUGAAAUCCCCGGGCUCAACCUGGGAACUGCAUUUGUGACUGCAUAGCUAGAGUACGGUAGAGGGGGAUGGAAUUCCGCGUGUAGCAGUGAAAUGCGUAGAUAUGCGGAGGAACACCGAUGGCGAAGGCAAUCCCCCUGGACCUGUACUGACGCUCAUGCACGAAAGCGUGGGGAGCAAACAGG